UACAGAGGGUGCAAGCGUUAAUCGGAUUGACUGGGCGUAAAGGGCGCGUAGGUGGUUAUAUAAGUUGGUUGUGAAAGCCCUAGGCUUAACCUAGGAGUUGCAAUCAAGACUGUAUAUCUAGAGUACGGUAGAGGGGAGUGGAAUUUCCGGAGUAGCGGUGAAAUGCGUAGAUAUCUGGAGGAACACCGGUGGCGAAGGCGGCAUCCUGGACCGGUAUUGACGCUGAUGCGCGAAAGCCAGGGGAGCAAACGGG
rnacentral:rRNA from 1 species